UCGACAUUUAUAGCCUGUCAAUAAUCGGAAAGUAGACCUUGGGAAGCCCCUCCAUGUCCGUCUGCAAAUUGAGCAUGCGUCUAAACUAAAAUUAAAAAAUAAUAUACUUAACCCUCGAACCACACACUGGAUCUUUCGUGUCCAUGCCAUUUCUAAUAGUUUUUAUUUUUCAUAUACUUGUGAACAUGGCCCUGUGCCUCCCCCCUCCCCCGGAAAAAAACUUUGUGAUGGGGGGAAUAUAGGGAAACAACGGCGACGAGAAAUCUCUAUGUGUUGUCGAACAGUACGGUCACAAAGUUGCGUGAGGAACCGAAAGAACCAUAUUUGUAGUUGGAAGGUGUCUUUUUCACAAAAUUUUUCGAGCACUUUAAGAGACUUAAAAUCGAGUCGGACACGAAUGAUCCAUGUGUGUCGUCCAAAGAUAUCGAAAAUAAGUGUGUGGUUCGAGGAUUAAUCUGACACCGACUGGCCAACAAGUCAAAAACUAGUUUUUGACCAGAUAAUUGUUGUUUAUUAUUUGCAACAUGGUGCUUUAUGUUCAUGCGGAGGGAGCUCAACAAGAUAGUUAUUACGUAUACAUUGUAUCUAUAAAGGUGAUUUAUGUUUCUGAUGAGGGCUCAAAGAUGAGCCGAAACAUGUAAGCGCGUUAUUGUAAUAAAGAGUGUUAUAUUAUUUGUGCAAUGACUACCGCGCCCGACUUCUGUUGCCUUGUCAUCUCCAAAUUUCU